GCUGGUUGAUGUCUAGAGAUGUUACAGUCUUAGGUACUUUUUCUGGAAAGCCAAUAAAUUUUGGGCCUGAAGCUAGCCUAUAAUAGGGGCAGAGCAGUUCAUGUGCAGCUUGAUGCAUGCAACGGAUGUCUGAACAUUGAACAAUGUAAAAGAUGAUCUCCAAUCUAUUCUCCAAUCACUGAUGAGACUAUCAAGUGCCACAUGGUGAAGAGUGGUGCGUUACCCAUUAGAGCAAUUCAUUUUUAAAAGAGUUUGUUACUGUUUUUCAAUACGCCACCACCCUAGAAUGGUACUAAUGUUUUAAAUUUUGAUUUUUAAUAUUGGUGAACAUUGUAUUUAUAUAUCUACAAUCACAAUUUGCUCCAUAAUUUCGGUUUUAUUUAGAAUUUGCAAGGAACAAGAAGGUGGUUUUUCUUGGGAAAAAAUCAAUAUUCCAAAAUUCAAUUUAUAUUUUGUAUCAGUUUAUCGUAAUCUUAUCCUUCCAUAAAAUGAAACGAAGAGAAAUUCCAUUGGUAUUCUGAAUAUUGAUGUGUAGGCAUACCCAUCAUGAUGUUGUGAUUGAAAACGAUUGAUCCAAUUAAUAGGAAUAUGAAAUAAGUUAGGAUUAUGUCGAAUAUUAUAGGAUUGGUCUUUGCCUAUGUCGUUGAAGACUCUACUUGGAGGUCCCCCCAAUCCUUUCAAUAAUUGUCUUUUCCAAAUAAAUAAAACUUAAAACAUAUUUAGUAUUAUCUUCGAAUUUCAGUUUAUUUGAAGUCUUAAUUUCAGUUUAUAAUUGUUGAGAGGUCUCCUUUAUUUUAUCUUUGUUUUUGAACUUUAUACUAUUAUAAUUGUGUAGACAUGCUACAAGGGGUACAUCAAAAGACAAAGCAUAUCAAAGGAGACGUAAGUCAUGCCAUAUGCUGGUGGGUUUCCAUAUUUGUUCAUGUGAUGCUACCAAAGACCCAUAAAAUCCCUCCCCCCUCCCAAAAGCUAUCCAUUAUUUUGUUUUAUAAACUUUUUUUUUUGAUAAAAUUGUUUUAUAAACUUGUUUAGAUUCUUUGAAGCUUGGAGUUUCUUCGAUCAUAUCGGUACCUACUUUUAUUUUUUU
rnacentral:lncRNA from 1 species